UAAGCCAGGUACCUGCAAAAUGAUUCAGCCAUUAAUGAUGCCUGCCACCAAGCCUGAUAACCUGAGUUCAGUACCCCAAACCCACAUGAUGGAAGGCAAGAAUGGACUCCUCCAAUGAAGACCUGCCUGACAGCAAUCCCUGGACUCCCUGGAAAAAAAUGGGCUACACAUCCUCGAGUGCACUGGAUCCAACUUGCUCCAUUUUAACUGACACUCUGGCCAGAGGUUCGGGUACUGACUUCAAUCAAGUUGAUGAUUUCAAGUGAGAUCUUCAAUCAAGAGAAUCCCAUCUAGCAUGGACUGGAUACAAUCCAUUCAAGACUUUCACUAUACUAACAUUUUCUUCCUACAGGACCCCACAAGGCUAUCAUCGUCCUAUUUCAGCAGGAAGUAACUUGGAGGAUGCUACGACCCCUUUCCCCAUUGUUGUCACUUAGGACAGUGUAUAUACCUAUUUAGGGAUAGCUUCCUAUUGUUUAUGGUUGGGAUUGGAAGGAGGUGUUCAGGCUUGGACACCUCUUUCAGAUGACUUUAGGGUUUAGUUAAAAUAGAUAGUUAGGAUGUGACAUAAGCAGAUUGUUGUAUCUUCUUAUAUUUUACCUUUAUGAUGGUUAAUUUUGGAUACUUUACACUGUUAAGUUUUAAUCCUCUUUUAGACUAAAAGGGGAAUUGCAGGGGAAGCUGUAGCCACGCCUACUUAGGGGCUGGCUACAAGAGUGCCUGAC
rnacentral:lncRNA from 1 species